rnacentral:rRNA from 1 species
UACGUAGGUGGCAAGCGUUGUCCGGAUUUACUGGGCGUAAAGGUCGUGCAGGCGGUUUGUUACGUGCAGGGUGAAAGCUCCCGGCUCAACUGGGAGAGGUCCUUGCAUACUGGCAAACUCGAGGGAGGCAGAGGAAAGUGGAAUUCCCGGUGUAGUGGUGAUAUGCGUAGAUAUCGGGAGGAACACCUGUGGCGAAGGCGGCUUUCUGGGCCUUACCUGACGCUGAGGUGCGAAAGCGUGGGGAGCAAACAGG